GCCGAUUACACCCAGCUCGGCUGGGAUGGCUCCGAGCCGUCUGCCCUGACGUCAGCGAGGCUCCGGCCCCGCCGCGGCCAGAUAGGCGAGCGCGGCCGGGCGCGGGCGCGGCACUAAUCACUCCCAGAUGUCCCUAAUAGCGGAGAUAAAGACCGACAGAGCGGCCGGGAAUAAAUUUGUAAUCAGGGCUCUACCAUCUGAUCAUCAAAGCGGCCCAAAUACCGGGAGAAUUUGAAGGGAAUGUGUGUGCAGGGGGGUCGCUUGGGGGAAGAGGUGAGGGUGCACUUCACGAUGGGAACUGGCUUCGACAGGGUAGAGCAGGGAGAACGGGGCGAGAGAUCUGUAAGUUCGGUGCACGUAAGUCAGAUACCUGGUGCUCUUUAACCUCCAUUAGCCCUCCGACUGAAGCCGCUUAGCGGUUCCAGGGUGAUUGGAGCUGAGCAGACAGUUGCUGUGCGGGAAGCACGCGUUGCGCAGCGGCUGGGUGGUAAGGCGGCGCGCUCAGAACUGUCCUGCCCCCGGAAACGUGGGAUUGGUUUCCUCUCCCGGAGUUCUCCCCUCCCCCUUCUUUCUAAACAUUUAAAAAACACGUAGUCGGUCUCCCCCAACCCCCAUUCCCGGUAGACUUAAUCCCAAUAGCAAUUCAUUGCACCGCGGAGCUUCCUCAGGGAGGGGGCUGUUGGAGCCUCCAACCGGGGUCCUGGGCCCCAGUCUGAGGGUGACUCCUGGGUUUUUCUCUCCAAGAGAUCCGCAGGCUCUGAGAGGCCAGGAGUCCUGUGCGUCCGGGAGACUCCUUAGCGCCCCCUCCUUACGUGGAGAUCUGGACUCUUGUGCGCCCACCUCUCUUGUUCUCCUGCUACUUCACCAAUCCGAGUGGGAGACUAGCUCUGCAAUUCACGCCAAGCUGGGGCAGCGGCUAGCAGAGUCUGGUCGAAGGAAUUGAGGCACCCUCCACUCCUGACACACACACGACCUGAUGGCUUUCUCCUGAGCGGAUUAAAAUAAAGACGCAGAAGACAACUGAAACCACGAGAGGGAGGGAACCACUCGAUCAAACGCAGGAGGAUUGGGAGAGCAACAGAAAAUCAGGGCGCGCCUCCCCCACACCUCCUCUCCGUGUUAUAAACAAAGGCAAGUGUCUGUAAACACAGCCCCGCGCCCACCAGGUCGACCCAGCGCCGGCUGACCCAAGAGGAGAAAGUUCAGAUCGCUUUGGCCGAGUUGUUCUAACCCCUCGCCCUCGCGUUGUCAGCCGCCCGCAGAAGUCCGCAGAGCCUCUAGCUUGUCUCUCCCUGGGCACUUCUGAAAUCGCCCACGGCGGGUCUGAUUCGGCCUGCUGCAGGCAGAGGGGUCAUAGUGGACACCAGCUAGGCGCGGGAACCCUUGGGAUAUCGCGGGAGGGUCUGUGCCCGAGGCCAAGGUGCGAACAUCACCCUGAGGAUGGGUUCCAGGAUGGAAACCCUCUGGCAAGCCUCUCCAACACCAGAUUUAUAUACGCGGUGUUUCAUGAAACAAACCACUUUUUAAUACGGUUCACCUUUCUCUCUCCUCCGCCCACCCCCUUCCAAAAUCCCUCCCAGCCUCCUCCCCCCUCCCCUCAGCCGGCACUGGCACUUUAGUUUCUCCGGUUUCUAGAGCUGAGAUUCAAGCUUCCGCCAAGGCUGCAGGCAAAGGAGGCCGCUGGGACUUUCUUCCGGGACGAGCUGGGACUCAGGGAGCCCAAAGACCCAACAGGGAGAGAUCCCGGGUCCCCGGCUGCCAGUAGUCCCGGGAGGGUGUCGCUUGUUCCGCUGGGCUGCGGCCGGGAAGACUUCAGACACCGCACAGUUAAUAUUGAGUUCCCUGUAACUCCUUGUAAAUCUAACCCACCCCUCGCCCUCCUUUAAAUCCGUGGUCUUGUUCGCGAUUUCUUACUUGACGUAAAAUUCCUUGUUACCUAAUCAUGGACUUUUUCGAAACUCCUUCCACUCCCCUUUCCCGCCUGCUCAGAUGAGAAUCCCCCGUAUAGAAUACAAGCAAAAUCCUCUCCUCUCUUUUUUCCUUUUUUUUUUUUUUUCUUGGAUGAAAGCCCCAUAGUUUGAAUUAAACACCCAGACUAGUUCCCGUUGCAGCAAUAAUGCCGGGGUCCUCACAACUCCUCCACCAGAAACACACUCUCCAAACAAAAACUGACGGCCUCAAGAAACGGCUUCUGAUUGAUUUCAGGAACGCAAGAGCACCUUUACAGCUUCUGAGCGAACUGCCGGGCUGGGUUCUCCAGCCCGGAUCUUCCUUCUAGAGAAUACUCAGCGUUCUCCAGCUGGCGGAAGAGGGAAAGAGACACCACACCGACAGAGCCCAGACCCUUUGUAGGGUUUGUAACAAGGACACUUCUCUUCAAGAGCACCUCCUCCUCCUGCGCAGACCGCAGGUCAGGUUGACUGGUUGGAACCACUGAGUCUUUAAAAUAAAGUUAGAGGCAAUCAUGAUAAUUUAGUUUACUUCUGAAUAUUUUAAAUAUUAUGAAAACAAGUAUAACAGCUUUGUUUUCAAAACUCUUUUGAGGUAUCAACCAUUAAAAGAUUAGGGUUUCUGUAAAAAAAAAAAAAAAAAAAAACAACACAGUGGUUUAUUGAAUACUUACAACGUUUACACCUUCAAUAUUAAUUAAAUUCCAUUUAGUUUUAGAGGACGGAAGUGCACAAAACAAGUGGCUGUUGGAAACAUCUUCAAAGAGGGAACGACCACAGAUGAACGGACAGCACUAGAUACCGACCCCAACGGAAAUGUUAGCGGCCCUGUUUUCCGCUUUGAAAUAAAACUUUAUAAUCCCCAGGAAUAUUUAUAUCCAAAGGCCAAGCAUUAAAGAUACACUUCACAAACGCA